UACAGGGGGUGCAAACGUUGCUCGGAAUUAUUGGGCGUAAAGCGCGCGUAGGCGGCCUGCUAAGUCGAACGUGAAAUCCCUGGGCUCAACCCAGGAACUGCGUCCGAUACUGGUUGGCUUGAAUCCGGGAGAGGGACGUGGAAUUCCAGGUGUAGCGGUGAAAUGCGUAGAUAUCUGGAGGAACACCGGUGGCGAAGGCGGGUCUCUGGGCCGAUACUGACGCUGAGGAGCGAAAGCGUGGGGAGCAAACAGG
rnacentral:rRNA from 1 species